AUGACGAGACGCGCUGCAGCCACCUUUAUGCUGAUGCUCUCGCUCCCGACAGCGGCCCUCAUGGUCGCCGCCGACGACGUGGGCGUCGACAGCAUCCGCCUCCCUACCGACGGCGGCGAAGGUCUCGCAACGAGCAAAGGAGGCGAGAAGCAGACACUAUCACUCCCAGUCCCUGACCAAAUAGUGGCGCCGAGGGAGCAGAACGUCGGCGACGUCCUCGAAGAAGAGGAGAGGCCGUGGGCGUGCUGCAACAGCACCGUGUGCACCAAGUCCUUCCCGCCGACGUGCCGGUGCCUGGACGAGGUCGAGGAGUGCGCCCCCGCAUGCAAGGCGUGCGAGCCGUCCGGGUUCAACCCGGCCUUCCACGUCUGCAACGACCAGUACCACGGCGACCCAGGGCCGACGUGCGCCAAGGAGGAGAGGCCGUGGACGUGCUGCGACCGGACCGUGUGCACCAAGUCGUUCCCGCCGACGUGCCGCUGCCUGGACGAGGUGGAGGAGUGCGCCCCCGCGUGCAAGCGCUGCGAGCCGUUCGGGAUCAACCCCAACCGCCACGUCUGCAACGACCAGUACCACGGCGACCCCGGGCCCACGUGCGGCAAGGACGACGACGACGAUGACCACCCCAGCGGCUCUCCAUCCCUCGCCGCCGCCACACAGAUGCAGUUGCUGCUGGUUUCUCUGAUCUUGUUGUUUAUCCAGAGUCCUUAG
rnacentral:rRNA from 1 species